rnacentral:rRNA from 2 species
UGCAAGUCGAACGAUGAUGCCCAGCUUGCUGGGCGGAUUAGUGGCGAACGGGUGAGUAAUACGUGAGUAACCUGCCCUUGACUCUGGGAUAAGCCUGGGAAACUGGGUCUAAUACUGGAUACUACCUUCCACCGCAUGGUGGGUGGUGGAAAGGGUUUUACUGGUUUUGGAUGGGCUCACGGCCUAUCAGCUUGUUGGUGGGGUAAUGGCUCACCAAGGCGACGACGGGUAGCCGGCCUGAGAGGGUGACCGGCCACACUGGGACUGAGACACGGCCCAGACUCCUACGGGAGGCAGCAGUGGGGAAUAUUGCACAAUGGGCGGAAGCCUGAUGCAGCGACGCCGCGUGAGGGAUGACGGCCUUCGGGUUGUAAACCUCUUUCAGUAGGGAAGAAGCGAGAGUGACGGUACCUGCAGAAGAAGCGCCGGCUAACUACGUGCCAGCAGCCGCGGUAAUACGUAGGGCGCAAGCGUUGUCCGGAAUUAUUGGGCGUAAAGAGCUCGUAGGCGGUUUGUCGCGUCUGCUGUGAAAGCCCGGGGCUCAACCCCGGGUCUGCAGUGGGUACGGGCAGACUAGAGUGCAGUAGGGGAGACUGGAAUUCCUGGUGUAGCGGUGAAAUGCGCAGAUAUCAGGAGGAACACCGAUGGCGAAGGCAGGUCUCUGGGCUGUUACUGACGCUGAGGAGCGAAAGCAUGGGGAGCGAACAGGAUUAGAUACCCUGGUAGUCCAUGCCGUAAACGUUGGGCACUAGGUGUGGGGGACAUUCCACGUUUUCCGCGCCGUAGCUAACGCAUUAAGUGCCCCGCCUGGGGAGUACGGCCGCAAGGCU